rnacentral:misc_RNA from 1 species
AACUUUCGGCAACGGAUCACUUGGCUCUGGCAUCGAUGAAGAACGCAGCAAAAUGCGAUACGUAAUGUGAAUUGCAGAAUUCCGUGAAUCAUCGAAUCUUUGAACGCACAUUGCACCUAGGGGUAUUCCUCUAGGUAUGCCUGUUUGAGCGUCAUUUCAACCCUCAAGCUUUAUUUUGCUUGGUGUUGGUAUUUUCUGCUUCCGUAGAAUUACCUAAAUUUAUCGGCGGGAUAGUUGCUUAAACCUAGCGUAGUAAUAUAUGCCUCGUUUGGUAAAAGUAAUUUGUGUUCGCCGUUAUACAAAACAACUUAAAGGUUGACCUCAAAUCAGGUAAGAUUACCCGCUGAACUUAAGCAUAUCAAUAAGCGGAGGAU